CACGUAGGGGGCAAGCGUUUGUCCGGAUUUAUUGGGCGUAAAGAGCUCGUAGGUGGUUCAGUAAGUCAGGUGUGAAACCUCCAGGCUCAACCUGGAGACGCCACUUGAUACUGCUGUGACUGGAGUCCGGUAGGGGAGCGUGGAAUUCCUGGUGUAGCGGUGAAAUGCGCAGAUAUCAGGAGGAACACCAGCGGCGAAGGCGGCGCUCUGGGCCGGUACUGACACUGAGGAGCGAAAGCGUGGGUAGCAAACAGG
rnacentral:rRNA from 1 species